rnacentral:lncRNA from 1 species
GCCGGGGAUGUUGCCAGCAGUGGGCAGGGGCAUUGGGGGGAGGCAUACCCGGCUUCAUCCCGCCGGGUAGGAGCUGGAGGAGGGGUAACUGCCUCUCCCCGGGUGGCAGAUGACCCACAAUUGUGUACAGCCCCUCAGGUGUGAGCUGAACCACAAUUGGGGGCACCUCCUGAGGUGGGAGCUGACCCACUGUUGGGGGCACCUCCUGAGGUGGGAGCGGGCCCACAGUUGCGGGUACACCCUGAGGUGGGAGCUGACCCACAGUUUGGGGCAUUGCCCCAGCUGUCAGCUGAAUCACAUUUUCAGGCUUUGCCCCUGGUGGCACCUGCACUACAGGUGGGGGCAUUGCCCCAGUUGGGAGCUGACCCACAGUUGGGGGCACCACCUGAGGUGGGAGCGGACCCACAGUUUGGGGCAUUGCCUCAGCUGGCAGCUGAAGCACAGUUGGGGGCAUUGCCCCAGGUGGUGGGAGCUGAGCCACCAUGGAGAGCAUCCCCUGUGGUGGGAUCAGAUCCACCAUUGGGACUACCCCCUGAGGUGGGAGCUGACCCCCAUUAUAGGGCAUUGCCCCAAGGGGCAGCUCAACCAUAGUUUGGGGCAUUGCCCCAGGUGGCAGCUGAGCCACAACUGGGGGCAUUGCCCCAGGUGGCAGCUGAAGCACAGUUUGAGGCAUCGCCCCAGGUGGCAGCUGCGCUCCCUGUCCCUGCACACCCGGUACCCCCGGCUGGACAGAGGCCUGAGGCACCAUGGAGGUGACAUUGGGGGCAGGGAUGGGCUGGAAGGAUACGGGCACUGCUCCGCCAAUGGUGGUCUUCAUUGCAGCAGUGGCCGGUGGGGGCACAAAG